rnacentral:rRNA from 1 species
GGAGGGGGCAAGCGUUGUUCGGAAUUACUGGGCGUAAAGGGCGCGUAGGCGGAAGAUCAAGUCAGGGGUGAAAGGCCUGGGCUCAACCCGGGAACUGCCUUUGAAACUGGUUUUCUAGAGUACGGGAGAGGAUGGCGGAAUUCCCAGUGUAGAGGUGAAAUUCGUAGAUAUUGGGAGGAACACCGGUGGCGAAGGCGGCCAUCUGGCCCGGUACUGACGCUAAGGCGCGAAAGCGUGGGGAGCAAACAGGAUUAGAUACCCUGGUAGCCCACGCCGUAAACGAUGUGUGCUAGCCGUUGGGGCUUCAGGUCUCGGUGGCGCAGCUAACGCGUUAAGCACACCGCCUGGGGAGUACGGCCGCAAGGUUA